rnacentral:rRNA from 1 species
CGGUGUACCAGCCAGCGCAUCCUCGAUGCCGCAGGAGCCGAGUACGCUGCUCACGGUUUCCACGCGACCACCUUGGACCAGAUCAGCGAGCGAGCAGAGGUCGAUCCCCACGAGAUGCACGCCCGAUUUGGCGACAAGAAACAGCUCGCUCGCCUGCUCCUGGACUAUGAGCGCACAGCAUGGUCGGCAUGGGAGAAGACGAUCCGCGGCCGAUCACUGACUGGCGUCUCCGCCGUCCGCAAACUCCUCCUACUUGCCGCCAACCACUACGCCACCGAUCAACGCCUCCAAGGCGCAGCCAGGCUCGCCGUCGAAUCUCAUUACAUCGACCCACGCCGUCAGCAUCCCUACAAGCGCCAACUCCAGGUAUUGCACCGAACGGUAGGCCGGAACCCAUCAGGCCUACCCGACGGGACAACCGCAGACGGAUUCAUCGCCACUGUCCUCGCCACCUUCGCCGGCCUGACCACUGCGGUGAACGGCCAAUGGACCGACCUCCCCGAACGGAUCAGACAGUUCUUGGAUCUACUCAAGACCGCCACUUAGGUGAAGCACCUCACCGGCUCUUUCCGCGCGUAUCCGAUGCCAACCCCCCCCCUUCACUUGGAGCGAUCUUGCGGGCCUGCUCCGUCCCGUCCCCGUCUCUGGCGAAGGAGGUCUCGCACGGAGAACCCUGGUCGUACCUGGGGCGGUCGAGGUCGAUGAGGACUGGCGGUCACCGCGCUGGUAGAUCCCAAGAUUGCCACGCAUGUCGCGGACCCGACGCCUCGCACGCGCCGGUUCACAUCGGUUUGCGUCGGUGCCCACGUGCUCGCAGCGACGGGACGGCUCGACGGCAAGCUGGCGACCACGCACUGGUCGACGGCCCAGCAGCUCGACGACGAGCAUCCCAAGAUCAUCGUCGACGCCGACCCGAUCCUCAUCCGUGACGGGGACGUGUGGACCGGUGCCGGUUUCAGCUCUUGUCUGGAUCCCGCCCUGGCGCUGGUCGCUGAUGACUUCGGUGAAGCACUCGCACAGAAGGUUGUCCGCCAGCUGGUCGUCUGCCUCAAGCGCCUCAGCGGGCAGAGCCAGUUCAGCGUGCCCUUGGGAUCCGCAUCGACCACACGGCAAGUGGACGAACUGCGCCACUACAUCCGGGAGCAUCUGGCCGAGCCGCCCACCGUCGCCGAGCUCACCGAACAGCUCCACGUCAGGACUGGCAACUCACCCGAAUCUUCAAGACCGAGCUGGGCAUGACCCCAGCCGCCUACCUCGAAUCAGCCCGCCUGGAAGUCGCGCGGUACCGGCUGGAAACC